UCAUGAGAGUGUGAGCCAAUGAACAUCAGGAGAUUGUGAGCCAAUGAACAUCAGGAGAGUGUGAGUCAAUGAACAUCAUGAGAGUGUGAGUCAAUGAACAUCAUGAGAGUGUGAGCCAAUGAACAUCAUGAGAGUGGUCUCUUGGGACCACCCUGGGGCACACAGAACCAGGCUGAAAGAGACCAUUAGAGGAUUGUAAGGCAGAUGGGACCAGAAUAUUCUAGAUACAGGGAACAACCUAGACAAAGGCAUAGGGUAUGAAACGGAACAGGCUGCUUGAGGAAGAUGCUAGUAAAGAAGGGUGACCGAAAGGCUGAGAGGGGCAAGAGCUCUGACUACUAGCCAGGAAGCUGGUUUUCCCAUGGGAGAACUUCCUCCGCAAACCUCCUGCUCUCAGUGGGGUCUUAUGCAGUCCAGGCAGGCCUUGAACUCGAAGCAACCCUCCUUUCUCUGUCUUGCAAGUGAAUACUGGGAUUAACUGACUUGCUGUUAAGGGGUUUCCCAAACUCACUUCCUGGAGCCCAGGAUAUUCCUGCUGGUUUUCCGUAUUUAAAAAAAAAAAAAAAAAGAUGUCAGAGGCACAUGGAUCACUGAGUUCAAGGCCAGCCUGGUUUAUAGAGUGAGUUCCAGGACAGCCAGGCCUUCACAGAGAAACUCUAUCUCUGGUGGGGGUGGGGCAGACAAACUAAAAACAAAAGGGCAGAUCUACAGAACAAGUUCUAGGCCAGCCAGGGCUACACAGUGAGAUUCUAUCUCCUGCUACCAUGCCAAGCCCAUGUGUGUGCCACUGAAGGCAGUGACCGUGGUCCCCAGAAGUUCCCACAGCCUUGUGUAAAGUGGUGUUGAAACUGCUGCGUGACCAGGGUCAUGAACCACCUAAAAGCCAGUCAGCUGCCUGGUGUCGGGGCACAGAGGAAGCAGAAGCGGGUGGAGCUCUGGGGGUUGGAGGUAGCCUGGUCUACAGAGCGUUCUAAACCAGCCAGGGCUAUGCAGUGAAAUAUCCAUUUAAAUACAUAUAUAUAUAUGCAUGCAAAAUUAAAAAAAGAGUAGGGGGGUGGAGAGAUGGUUCAGCAGUUAAGAGCACUGGCUGUUCUUCCAGAGGUCCUGAGUUCAAAUCCCAGCAACCACAUGGUGGCUCUCAAUCAUCUGUAAUGGAAUCUGAUGCCCUCUUCUCGUGAGUCUGAAGACAGUUACAGUGGACUCGUAUACUUAAAAUAAAUAAAUCUUUAAAAAAAAAAAAAGAGCAGUGCUGAGCACUGGCAGUCAUGGUAGGCUCUCUUCAGAGGAGUGACGUGUGAAAUUUCCUGCAGUCGUUAGCUUAUGACUUUGGACAAAAUGAAUAUUUGUUUUGUUUUCUUUUUUUGUUUUCUUUUUUCUUUUUUUUUUUUUUUUUUUGGUUCUUUUUUUCAGAGCUGGGGACCAAACCCAGGGCCUUGUGCUUCCUAGGCAAGCGCUCUACCACUGAGCUAAAUCCCCAACCCCUCUUUUUUUUUUUUUUAAAGAUUUAUUUAUUUUAUUUAUAUGAGUAUAUUGUAGCUGUCUUCAUACACACCAGAUGAGGAUAUGAGACCCCAUUACAGAUGGUUGUGAGCCACCUUGUGGGUGCUGGGAAUUGAACUCAGGACCUCUGGAAGAGCAGCCAGUGCUCCUAACCACUGAGCCAUCUCUCCAGCCCAUAUCUGUUUUCUUGGCUGUCCCACCUCACUGAUAGGUUGAAAAUAUACACUGAGUCUGGGCUUCUCCCAAGAUGGCAUAAGCUGACAGUUUCUGGGCUCCCGUCUCCCCUUGCCCUCCCACGGACCAUCCAGGACAACCAUCACCAGUCCCAGUCCUGAGGGAAUUCCAAGCAAAGUAGCCCCAGCCCAGGGACUAGGAAAAUAUGCAAAUGUGGUUUCCCACAUCAUCAUCCUGGAUUACUCACCACCAGGGCUCACGGCCCAGGGGCAAAAUACAAAUAUUUUCUCCCCAUUUUGCAGCUAGACAGGCUGAUACUUGGCAGGUUCCCCGAGGGCUGCCAGCACUGAGCCUUACAGUUCUUUCUGGAUUUUUGAAUGAAUGAGUGACCAAAGGAGUGAAUAUGAGAGUUGAGAAGGAGGGGGGAGGAGGGAGGGACAGAGGGAGAGGGAGGGAGAGAGUGAAAUAAGUGUGAGUGAGCCCUUGAGUGCGUGAGAAAUGCUUCCUCGCUCUCUGGCUCCUCUGGUUGGCACAGUGCCUGGGACUGGCUUCAACCCCACUUGUCAUUGUCUGGCAGAGCUGGGCAUAGGAAAGGGACUAGGAGUAGGCGUCGAAACUCAAAUCCUGCUUCCCCCUAACCACGUGACCUUGAGCAUGACCUUAACACCUCCGGGGCCUCGGAGGAGGAAAAGCACCUGCUCCAUGAGACAGAGUGUUUGGAAAGCUCCGUGAGAGUCCUCCUGAGCCACAGAGGAAGAGCAGCAUGGGACAAAUGCUAGAGAAAUACAUAUACACUAUGUAGCAGAGGCUAGCCUUAAACUGGGGGUCCUUCUGCCUUCACCUCCUGAGUCCACACACACACACAUACACACACACACACACACACACACACACACACACAUCCUUCCUUCUCUUCUCUCUGUCUGUCUGUCUCUCUGUCUCUCUGUCUCUGUCUCUUUCUCUCUGUCUCUCUCUGUCUCUGUCUCUGUCUCUCCCUCUCUCAUCCACCCCCCGGGUGUCUGUGUGUGAUUUGUGUGGGCCCGUGCAUGUCCGUGUGUGGAGGUCAGAGGACCCCUGUGGGAGUUACUUCUCACCUUCUGAGACAAGGAAUGAACUCAGUUGUCCGGCUUGGCAGCAAUCACCUCCACCUUUCGAGCCCUCUCACUGGCCCCAGUUGUUAUUUUAACACAGGAUCUUGUUAAGUUACCCCAGGUUGGCCUUAAACUCACCAUGCAGGCCAAGCAGAGCUUGAAUUUACGCUGUGCCCCCCAACUGCCUUCUGAGGAGCCGGGAUAUAGGCCUGUGCCACUGUACCUAACUCUGGGGAAGCCUGUCUUUAACUUUAGUAUUAUUAUUGUUGAGACAGGUUCUCACUAUGUAGUCCUGAAACUUGCGGUGUAGACCAGGGUAGCCUCACACCUGCAGCAGGUCCUCCUGCCUCUGCCUCCUUAGAGCUGGUACUGUAGGUAUGAGCAACUAUUCUGGCUUACAUGGGCAUUCUUGAAGGUGUCCUCUGUCGCCUGGGGACUUAAAUCUUGAAGCCAGAUUUCCUAUAAUCCUCACUGCCCCAAGGAGAAAGAAGUGUCCCACUUUACACAUGAGGAACUAUGUUCAGAACUGUAAACAGGUGAGUCUUGCCCUGUGCGACCUCAUAUUCUUCCCUCCCAGGGCUUCUAAGGUCUGAUGAUUGGUGCAGAACUCCUUUGCCGCCACCGUGCCCAGGCCAGGGUGCAUGACAGAAGACUGAGGUACAACCAGACCAGCUCCAGAGUGCGUGACAGACAGAAGACUGAGGUACAGGUUACUACCAGGCCAGCUCUCUCUGUCUCAAACUGAGUUUUCCCACCUUCAACAAACACAAAGGCUGGGGGUAGGCAGCUGGGAUAGGGAAGGAUCAGAGAUGCUGAAAGGGCUGGGCUGAGGGAUGACGACAGGGAGCCUGGGACGAUGUGCACGGCACGUGCCUUAUAGGGAGGUAAGGAGGAUUUUGUAAGUUUGAGGCCAGCCUGGGCUACCAGGGAAACCCUGCCCAUAAGCAAGCAAGCAAACAAACAAAUGCCCCUGGAUUGGGAGCCCACUCAUCUGCCGUUCCUGGUGCUAUCCUGCAAGGCGCCAGCUUUUGCUCUUCUUCAGCCUCCUGAACCAUUUCGAGGCUCUCCAGGAUGCCCAUCUCUCAGCUACCCAGGUAAGGACAAAGUUCUGGAGGGACACCACCCCUUUCUGUGUGUCCUGUAACCACUGGCUCUGCCCUUAGAGACUCAGGGUGAGUUCCUGCUGGAGUCAGAUUUGGCUGACUUGUGUAUGAGUGUGUGUGCGUGCCUGUGUGUGUCUCCUCUCUGGUGGAGAUAUGCAUACUCUCAUGGCUGUUCUCCCCCCCCCUUUUAAAUUAUUUAAUGUAUGUGAGUACACUGUCUUCAGACACAUCAGAAGAGGCCAUCAGAUCCCAUUACAGAUGGUUGGGAGCCACCAUGUGGUUGCUGGGAAUUGAACUCAUGACUUCUAGGAAGAGCAGUCAGUGCUCCUAACCAUUGAGCCAUCUCUCUAGCCCCGGCUGUCCCCUUUUUUUCAGCCUCAUAGAAGAAGAAAGCUGGGCUCUACCAGGGUCCAGGUACCCAGAGAUGGAGAACACUAGGCCAGAGAAGAUUGCAUUGGGGUUGGGGAUUUAGCUCAGUGGUAGAGCGCUUGCCUAGCAAGCGCAAGGCCCUGGGUUCGGUCCCCAGCUCCGAAAAAAAAAAAAAAAAAAAAAAAGAGAAGAUUGCAUUUUUGCUUCCUGUGGUAAGAUUUAGUGGCUGGGGUCGUGCACGACAGGCUACAUGAUUAGAGGUGAAGAGAGAGGUGGGAGGCAGGCCAAGGCUGUCUGUAUAUAAGGACACUGCCCCACACAGGUUGUUUGUCCAAAACCUCAGGGCCUCCAUGCCCUAAGGCAGGGGAGGACAGAGGCAAAGAGACCACCCUGAGAAAGUUCCCCCACUGAGUGCCACUCCCUGGGCUGUGCUCCGUAAAUACGAGUCCCUAGUCAGUUAGGUACCCUCAGCGAAAGGACAAGUGUCCUGCCAGCACAUGGACUGUGUGUGUGGUCCCAUAGAGAGAAGGGACACUGAGGGGCAAAGGUCCUUUGGGGGUUCAUGUGAUUCUACUUGUUCUGUCUCUUAAGUGAAGAGGCCCGUCCUGUGGGGUCAUGUGGGGGUUCAGAUUUCUGUAUGACGUGGAUUUGGGGCUAAAUACAUAUCCCUCACUCCUUGGGGUGACCAUCUAGGGUUGUAGGAGUCCCUGUGGGUCCUCAGUCUCCAAGAGUCCUGAGUAUCCAGCCAACAAGAGGCCAUGCUUCCCCCUCUUGUGGGUUUGCUAGUAUAUAAAGGCUAGAAGGCAGAACAGUGUGGUCCAGCCCAACCCUGUGCUGAGCUCCCUUUCAGAGAUGAUGUUUUGGUAGAAAACCUGUCUGGGGAAGUGGUGCACGGCACCCUCGGCAGCCUGCUCAAGUAAGGCUGGGUCUGCAAGGCCCUGUUUGCAAGCCACAGGAACAGGCUUCCGGUUCUUGGGCUUUUUUGGAAACUAAUCCUCAGUUCUUAGAAUUUAUUAGGCUCUGGGACAUCUCAAAACACCCUGACCUCCCACUCUCCUGGGUUAUUGUUGGGCAUGGCCGGAUGUUAAAAAGGCCCUAGGAAGUCAGAAAACCAGGGAAUAAAGGCUGUGGUUGAAUGAAGCAGCCACAUGUUAACAGGGGAGCUGGAGGCCAGUGGAGCUGGAGGGAGGGUUCUCUGGACCUGAUGACUCAUGGGGUGCUGCAGAUUCCUUGGGGAAGGAGAGGGAGAGAGAGGGAGAGAGAGAGAGGGAGAGAGAGAGAGGGAGAGAGAGAGAGAGAGAGAGAGAGAGAGAGAGAGAGAGAGAGAGAGAGACCCUUAGGGGAUGGGGGGAAGGUCCAUGUCUCCAAGCCUCUGCCCUGUAUGAAGCAGGAGGAGCUGUCCAUAGAUUCUAAUGUAGUCUCCCUGCCCAGUGCUCCUACUAUGCGCUUCUGUGUGGCCACCUAGCUUGCCAUGAAGCAGCUGGAGACCCCCACCUUCCUGAACCAGGAGAAGCUGCACUGGGGCAGGGGAGGAGACUUAAACGUUGGAAAGAGGCUCAGGGUGGGCUCAGGGACAUGUCACUGUGACUCAGGAUCAAUUAAUCUCUCCCAGGUUAGUUCUGUGAGGUGAUGCUCCUCUAUGGCCUCAGCUGCUGUAGGAAGCACCCCCCGCCCCUCCCUGUGGCAAGGACUAAGUAUGACUGUUCCUCUGGGCAGGAAGCCAAUGUCACCACUGUGAUGUCACCGUGAAGUAGAACUCUCUGGAGUCCGUUACUUCAUGUGACCCUUGCUGCAGCUCAGAAACGGGUGGGCGGGUGGCAACAAGGAAAGGACCCAGAAUCAUAGAGGAUUUUCUCAAGGACACAGAGUCGGUCGGGGGCAGAGCUGAGAUCUGGAAAUGUGCUGUCACGGAGUUUUUCUCAUGCAUGAGAUUUUGCUCAACAGAUGACCCCUUGAGUGGCCAUCCUGUGUCACACGCCUUGUUCUGAUUGAGGGACUGGCUUGAGAGAGAAAGUGAGCUCUGUCCUCAGGAGGUCACUCUCUGUUAAGCCAGGUGAGCAAUCACAAGACUGGUUGCAGGGACGAGCGCGGAGCAUGGCGCAGAGGAAGAGGCAGGACACUAUUGUGGGAGGGCAGUGUCUUAGAGUUUUACUGCCGUGAACAGACACCAUGACCAAGGCAAGUCUUAAAAAAUGACAUUUAGGGGCUGGGGAUUUAGCUCAGUGGUAGAGCGCUUACCUAGGAAGCGCAAGGCCCUGGGUUCGGUCCCCAGCUCCGGAAAAAAAAAAAAUGACAUUUAAUCAGGGCUGACUCACAGGUUCAGAGGUUCAGUCCCUCAUCAUCAAGGCAGGAGCGUGGCAGCAUCCAGGCAGGCACGGUGCAGGAGGAGCUGAGAGGUCUACAUCUUCAUCUGAAGGAAGCCAGGAACAGACUCGGCAUUCUCACGCAGCUGGGAGGAGGGUCUCCAAGCCCACCCCACAGUGACACACGUCCUCCAACGAGGCCACACCUUCUAACAGUGCCACUCCCUGGGACGAGCAUAUGCCAGCCGUCACAGGUGACAACACCUUCAUUUGACAGAGGACACUCAGGGGCAUUCAGGUUAUAUCCCCAGGGUCACAGCUCACAUCUGAACAUGGAUAUGGGGACUCUAAGUCUCAAUAUUGGUGGCAGGGUCGAUGUGAGGCGUAAGCAGGAAGGUUAGUCCUGCAGAUGUGGAGAGAAUUUUCCAAGUGCCCUGGCAUGGGUCACCCUCAGGGUCUAGUCUCAGGGCCACCCUGCAUUGACUGAAUGGGCAAAGGUGCCAGUGUGAGAUCGUAUCCCAGAUGUCUGUGAGGAGGGCCCUUCCUGUCUCCUGGCUUGCAAAUCUUUGUGGACAUCAAGGGCUGAGCCCUGGCCCCCUUGCCUGUCACCAGAUACCUGCAGAUGUGCCACUGUCCGUGAGAGGGACAGAAAGCAAAUGUUACCCUCUUCAUUUACCCAUGGUGCCAUUGCACAGGGACUUCCCUAUUCCUGCAGGUGAGCCUGAAGGCAGGAGAAGUCGGGGCCAAAGAGCGACCAGCAUGAAAGGAAAAGCCGGUAAGCUGGAGGAGCAUGGUGAGGAGAGAAUGCUCAUCUGCUAGACAGUGUUUUGGUGGGAUGGACCAGGGAUGGACCCCUUAAAUAUUAAAGCAGUGGAUGAGUUAUGAAACAAGGAGGGAGUUAGCUUAAAAAGUCAGCAGAUCUAGAGGACUGGAGUGAUGGCCCAGUGGUCGAGAGUGCUUCCUGCAGAAGGCCCGAUUUUUGUUCCCAGUACCCUUGUUGGGUGGCUCCCAGUCACUUGUGACUCUGGCUCUAAGGGAUCCACUACUCUUGGCUUUCUUAGGUACCGGAGCUCACCUGCACAUAUACACACAACUGAAAAUAAAAACUUAAAGACACUUAGUUUGGCUGGGUGGCGGCGGCCACAGUGAUGUGCACACCAUUAAUCCCAGCACUCAGGAGGCAGAGGCAGGUGGAUCUCUGAGUUCAAGGCCAGCCUGGUCUACAGAGUGACCAGGGCUACCAGGAUAGCCAGGGAUACACAGAGAAACCCUGACUCAGUGGAUGAUUGCUGAGGAAUCACGGGGCUAGGAAUUUGGAUCUCCAGCACCCAGGUAAACACUAGUGGGCAUGGGGAGCUCUGGGUUCUAGUGAGAAACACUGCCUCAAAAUAUAAGGAUGUCAGUAAUCAAGGACCACAAACUCACAUUGUUUGCUUGUUUUGAGAUGGAUCUUGUUCAUAGCCCUGGCUGAAAUGGCACUCACUGUGAAGCCCAAGCUGGCAUCAGUCUUGCAGCCAACCUCUGACCUCUACAAGCACAAGUGUGUGCCCACACACACACACACACACACACACACACAGCAGUUGUGGUGGUCUGUACUUGUAAUCUCAGAGCUGGGGAGGUUGUCUUUUUUGUUAUGCUUGGCUGACUCUGUUUAAAAAAAAAAUUGCUGGGCAUGGUGGUGCUGACCUCUAAUCCCAGCAUUCGGGAAGCAGAGGCAGGCAGAUCUCUGAGGCCAGCCUGGUCUACAGAGUUCCAGGCAACUAGGGAUACACAGAGAAACCCCAUCACAAAAAACGAAACAAAACAAAACAAACAAAAAACAAGAACAAAAAAAUUACAAGCAAAAAAAAAAUGAAAAUACAGCUAAGGUGGAGUGGGACCUUGGGGCUUGGGGUUGACUUUUAACCUCUACACACAUGCGCACACACUCACACUUGUACAGAAACACACACACACACACACACACACACACACACACACACUGGAGACUUGGAAUGCUGGUGCACACCUGUAAACACAAGCACUUGGAGACUGAAGUAGAAAAAUCAUCAGCAGCUUGAGGUCAGUCUAGAGUGGAAUCUUGUCUCAAAAUCCUCUUUCCCCAAAUCCCUGAAGCCAGAUGUAGUGGUUCACAGCUAUAAUCCUAGCAUAAGGAAGGCUGAGUCCAUUGGGUUACACAGUGAGAAGUGCCUCAAAAAGCUAAGGGCUCGGGGAUGGAGGGAUGGCUCAGUGGUUAAGAGCACUGGUAGCUCUUGCAGAGGAAGUAGGAGGUGGUGUUACCAGCAUCCACACGGCAGCCCAUAACCACCUGGAAUCUAGUUCCAGAGGUUCCGAGGCGCUCUUUUGACUUCUUCAGAAACCCAGGCAUUCACGUGAUAUCCAUACACAUAUGCAGGCAAAAUACUCACAUACAUAAAAGAAAAAGAAACGAGUCAGUAAAAAAAAAAAAAAAAUCGGGGGUUGGGGAUUUAGCUCAGCGGUAGAGCACUUGCCUAGUGAGCACAAGGCCCUGGGUUCAGUCCCCAGCUCCGAAAAAAAGAAAAGGAAAAAAAAAUUAAAAAAAAAAAUCAGGCAGUGGUGGCGCACACCUCUAAUCCCAGCACUCAGGAGGCAGAGGCAGGCAGAUCUCUGAGUUCUAGGCCAGCCUGGUCUACAGAGUGAAUUUUAGGACAGCCAGGGCUACACAGAGACCCUGUCCCGAAAACCAAAACCAACAGCAGAACCCCUGCAAUAGCAAGAAACCGCCAACGGCUUGGGAUGUAGGUCAGUGAGUGCUUGGCUAAGGUGCAGGAGGCCCUGGCCUUGGCCUACUCCACAGCGGGGUUGAGGGAAGAGGAAAGGGACUGUGAACAACAACAACGAAAAUGGCAGGUAACGGCAAGGCUUCAGAAGAAUUCCUCCACAUGCUCUUCCCUCUGCCUUAAGUUCACACCUUGGGAGAAAGGUGGAGAAGAGGUCCCACCAGGCUGACACACCAAUCCCAUGGCAAGGACUGUCCACUUGAACACCAGCGUUCCGCUGCGGCCUUAUGAAGGCAUUCAGGGUACAGGCACUACUGGGCCACUCUUUCUCCAUGCAGGUUGUCACUCUGCUUGGCUGGCUGUGUGGGCUCUAGCCCUGCCUCAGUGCAGACUCUCAGUCUACCACCGUGGGAUGGCCGGUCCAGGGUUCGUCCUUUCAGUACCCAUUUAGUAGAGGCCUCUAAGGAGAGGCCCAGCUCUUCAGAGAUUCACUUGAAUCCUUGGGGUGUCGUCCAGCUGAAUUGAGUCUUCCUUUUCCAAUUUCCCGGAAAACCUAUCUUAAAGCUUCAAGGCUUCUUCUCAGUCUCCAGAACGGAUGCUCUGCCCCCUGGUGGCCAAAUAUGGUACAGCCACAGUCAAUACCAAAAGCCAUGGUCCUGAAAGGAUGCAGCGUGACUCUCAGGCUUGUGUCUCCUUUCCGUCACCGUGAAUCCCUGGACUACCUCGGUGGUCUUCAUGCUUCAGGACCCGAACCCCAGAGACAGCCUCUCAGAGAUGAAGCCCUGUCUGCGUGGCUGGUUCUCCAGCUACCAUGGGAAGCUGGCCAACUUUACUGGUGGGGCUGGCAUCUGGCAGGGACCAGAACUAUAAGUAACAAAGGGUGGGCACUCACUCACGAAGAGAACCUUUCUCUCUUGGCUUGCUGUGUGUCCUUCAACUAACCUUUACUGAAGAGCUACUUGGCGCUACUGUGUAUGGCUUUCUCCUGGCUUGAUUUUAUAUAUAUAUAUAUAUAUGAAACAUUAUACCUUG